GACGUAGGGCGCGAGCGUUGUCCGGAUUUAUUGGGCGUAAAAGAGCUCGUAGGCGGCUUGUCGCGUCGAAUGUGAAAAUCCCCGAGGCUCAACCUCGGGUCUGCAGUCGAUACGAGCAAACUAGAGUGUUGCAGGGGAGACUGGAAUUCCUGGUGUAGCGGUGAAAUGCGCAGAUAUCAGGAGGAACACCGGUGGCGAAGGCGGAUCUCUGGGCCGAUACUGACGCUGAGGAGCGAAAGCGUGGGGAGCGAACAGG
rnacentral:rRNA from 1 species